GACGAACGCUGGCGGCGUGCUUAACACAUGCAAGUCGAACGAAGUGGCGAACGGGUGAGUAACGCGUAAUCAACCUGCCCUUCAGAGGGGGACAACAGUUGGAAACGACUGCUAAUACCGCAUACUGAAGGAGGGGAUUGCGUCUGAUUAGCUAGUUGGAGGGGUAACGGCCCACCAAGGCGAUGAUCAGUAGCCGGUCGUGGAGGGUUAACGGCCCAAUUGGGACUGGGACACGGCCCAGACUCCUACGGGAGGAAGCAGGGGGGAAUCUUCCGAAAUGGACGAAAGUCUGACGGAGCAACGCCGCGGGAGUGAUGACGGCCUUCGGGGUGUAAAGCUCUGUUAAUCGGGACGCGGUACCGGAAGAGAAAGCCACGGCUAACUACGUGCCAGCAGCCGCGGUAAUAC
rnacentral:rRNA from 1 species